rnacentral:rRNA from 1 species
GGCGUAAGCGCGCGUAGGCGGCUAAUUAAGUCAAAUGUGAAAUCCCCGAGCUUAACUUGGGAAUUGCAUUCGAUACUGGUUAGCUAGAGUGUGGGAGAGGAUGGUAGAAUUCCAGGUGUAGCGGUGAAAUGCGUAGAGAUCUGGAGGAAUACCGAUGGCGAAGGCAGCCAUCUGGCCUAACACUGACGCUGAGGUGCGAAAGCAUGGGGAGCAAACAGGAUUAGAUACCCUGGUAGUCCAUGCCGUAAACGAUGUCUACUAGCCGUUGGGGCCUUUGAGGCUUUAGUGGCGCAGCUAACGCGAUAAGUAGACCGCCUGGGGAGUACGGUCGCAAGACUAAAACUCAAAUGAAUUGACGGGGGCCCGCACAAGCGGUGGAGCAUGUGGUUUAAUUCGAUGCAACGCGAAGAACCUUACCUGGCCUUGACAUAGUAAGAACUUUCCAGAGAUGGAUUGGUGCCUUCGGGAACUUACAUACAGGUGCUGCAUGGCUGUCGUCAGCUCGUGUCGUGAGAUGUUGGGUUAAGUCCCGCAACGAGCGCAACCCUUUUCCUUAUUUGCCAGCGAGUAAUGUCGGGAACUUUAAGGAUACUGCCAGUGACAAACUGGAGGAAGGCGGGGACGACGUCAAGUCAUCAUG